rnacentral:rRNA from 1 species
CACUCCCAACCCCUGUGACAUACCAAUUGUUGCCUCGGCGGAUCAGCCCGCUCCCGGUAAAACGGGACGGCCCGCCAGAGGACCCCUAAACUCUGUUUCUAUAUGUAACUUCUGAGUAAAACCAUAAAUAAAUCAAAACUUUCAACAACGGAUCUCUUGGUUCUGGCAUCGAUGAAGAACGCAGCAAAAUGCGAUAAGUAAUGUGAAUUGCAGAAUUCAGUGAAUCAUCGAAUCUUUGAACGCACAUUGCGCCCGCCAGUAUUCUGGCGGGCAUGCCUGUUCGAGCGUCAUUUCAACCCUCAAGCCCCCGGGUUUGGUGUUGGGGAUCGGCGAGCCCUUGCGGCAAGCCGGCCCCGAAAUCUAGUGGCGGUCUCGCUGCAGCUUCCAUUGCGUAGUAGUAAAACCCUCGCAACUGGUACGCGGCGCGGCCAAGCCGUUAAACCCCCAACUUCUGAAUGUUGACCUCGGAUCAGGUAGGAAUACCCGCUGAACUUAAGCAUAUCAAUAA